GUAUUGAUUGCAUGUGACUGCAAAAGAAAAACAUUCUACACUGUAUCAAGUUUUGUGUGAAAACGCGAGCCCCCCUCGGGACGAGCCGAAAGGGGACCCACGCGGUGGUGCACAUAGGGGUGAAAUGGAUGGUUGAGAGCACUUGGGCGUGCACGACGAAAAGUCAGCGACAGCCCAUGUGCCUCGGUUGUACGAUAAUGAUCCUUCCGCAGGUUCACCUACGGAAA
rnacentral:misc_RNA from 1 species